GGUCCAAUACCAUGUCGCUGGUAGCCAGAUAGCAAUGACUACCGCCGACGCUAUGGUUGGACCGGAAUCAAUCUCACAAAAUUUGCAUUUUGAUGGGAACCUGUGGAUCGAUUUACUACCGUUCGUCCACGGAGCCAGUUUAUGCGAUUACAUUU